UACAGAGGGUGCAAGCGUUGUUCGGAAUUAUUGGGCGUAAAGCGCGUGUAGGCGGCUUUGCAAGUCGGGUGUGAAAGCCCUCGGCUCAACCGAGGAAGUGCGCCCGAAACUGCAGAGCUUGAGUGCCGGAGAGGAUGGCGGAAUUCCCCAAGUAGAGGUGAAAUUCGUAGAUAUGGGGAGGAACACCGGUGGCGAAGGCGGCCAUCUGGACGGUCACUGACGCUGAGACGCGAAAGCGUGGGGAGCAAACGGG
rnacentral:rRNA from 1 species